rnacentral:tRNA from 1 species
GCGGAUGUAGUUCAAUGGCAGAACAUCAGCUUCCCAAGCUGAGAACGCGGGUUCGAUCCCCGUCAUCCGCUCCA